GACAUUAAGAAUGCUGUUUGCAGAAGUAACAUUCCUUUGAACACUCAGCUUUCUGAAAUGGUGUCCCACCGCAAGGACUGGAGAAGGGUAAACCUCAGGUUCUCCUCCUGCCUUUUGCUAAGUAUAUGUCUUGAUGACAAGCCUUCUGCUGAUGAGCUGUGUUUCUGGACCGAUCAUGGUAGAAGUCAAUUAACGUGUCCCUCACUUGGGGUUUCUCAAGGGUAUGUUACCACAAAGACUCUCAUACACCCUUUUUUCUGAUCUCCCUUUCCCAUUCUACACUUGUGUGCUGAAUCUGUUUAGCAUUAUAGUUAGUACACUUACACGUCCACUAAAAAGUGGAAAUUAAUUUAAUUACCAAUGAAGUAACAAGAAUUUAGUUUGGCAAUGGAUUUGUUCUAUAAUCCAAAGCCAAGUUACCUUUCCACUCAUGGUUCUAAAGAUUACUCAACUGUGUAAAUCAUCUGUGCCACAUGGAAUAACUCAAAGUAAGUUCUUUCACCCCCUACUCAUUCUAAGUACACCGAAUAAAACUCUGCCUCUUUUGGAGAGUUCAUACACUGUUCAGAAGGCUGUGAGGUAUUUAUGAUAUCUAAUCCAGAAGGAACUCAAGUGAUGUUUGUUUUAGAAAUAGAAAGCAAAGAAUGAUUAUGCUGCAAAUAUUAUCAUGAAGACAUUUAUAAAUAUAUUACAAAUGCAUGUUUCCCGCCAAAUAAUUGACAAAACACUAUUACUUGCCUUAAAAAUAAUGCACAAUUAAUGA
rnacentral:lncRNA from 1 species